rnacentral:rRNA from 1 species
AUUGAACGCUGGCGGUAUGCUUAACACAUGCAAGUCGAACGGCAGCACAGUAUGUAGCAAUACAUAUGGGUGGCGAGUGGCGGACGGGUGAGUAACGCGUAGGAAUCUACCCUAAAGCGGGGGACAACCCGAGGAAACUCGGGCUAAUACCGCAUAAUCUCGAAAGAGUAAAGCUGGGGCAACCUGACACUUUAGGAGGAGCCUGCGUCCGAUUAGCUAGUUGGUGAGGUAAAGGCUCACCAAGGCGAUGAUCGGUAGCUGGUCUGAGAGGAUGAUCAGCCACACGGGGACUGAGACACGGCCCAGACUCCUACGGGAGGCAGCAGUGGGGAAUAUUGGACAAUGGGGGCGACCCUGAUCCAGCAAUACCGCGUGUGUGAAGAAGGCCUUAGGGUUGUAAAGCACUUUAGUUGGGGAAGAAGGAUAGUUGUUUAAGAGAUGAUUAUUUUGACGGUACCCAAAGAAUAAGCACCGGCUAACUCUGUGCCAGCCGCCGCAGUAA